rnacentral:rRNA from 1 species
UGGGGAAUUUUGGACAAUGGGCGAAAGCCUGAUCCAGCAAUGCCGCGUGUGUGAAGAAGGCCUUCGGGUUGUAAAGCACUUUUGUCCGGAAAGAAAUCCUUGGCUCUAAUACAGUCGGGGGAUGACGGUACCGGAAGAAUAAGCACCGGCUAACUACGUGCCAGCAGCCGCGGUAAUACGUAGGGUGCAAGCGUUAAUCGGAAUUACUGGGCGUAAAGCGUGCGCAGGCGGUUUGCUAAGACCGAUGUGAAAUCCCCGGGCUCAACCUGGGAACUGCAUUGGUGACUGGCAGGCUAGAGUAUGGCAGAGGGGGGUAGAAUUCCACGUGUGAGCAGUGAAAUGCGUAGAGAUGUGGAGGAAUACCGAUGGCGAAGGCAGCCCCCUGGGCCAAUACUGACGCUCAUGCACGAAAGCGUGGGGGAGCAAACAGGAUUAGAUACCCUGGCAGUCCACGCCCUAAACGAUGUC